GGGGGUGUUCUGGAUUCGACCCUUGGUUGGAGUGCGCCGCUGCCCUUCGAGAGCGAACAUCUCUCGUUAAAUCCUGUUCAAAACAAACAAACGGCAACACUGAAGAAAUGCCCCUCGCUGCUUAAUGCAGUGACGUCUGCCUGGUGACUCCUGCUAACCAACGUGGACGACGACAGCAGGAAUAACGCAAGGAGCCAUCCGCGGGCCUUGCGUCGUAUCUUCAACCCGGGGAUUGGUCGGAGCCCAAGCGCGGUUGGUCGCGUGACGCCGGCGAGAUAAAUACCAGCACAUAAGGGUAGACGCGGUGUGCAAAGGCCGAGGGGACCCGGGUUCAAAUCCCGGCACCUCCACCA
rnacentral:tmRNA from 1 species